ACUUAGCCAUUGCUGAAAUUUUCUCUCAGUUUUAAAAUAGUUACUUCCUAGUUUAUGAUAUAUUAUCUUUAUUUUAUUUCAGUAUGUUUUCUUUUUUUAAAAUCUCACCAUCACACACCCUGAGUGUUUUUUUAAUAUUAUAGUAUUUUUCCCAUUUGGUUCAAUUGUUUAUAAUCUACUUGCCUGUUUUCUAAAGGUGAAUAAUACCUAUAGGUAAUAUAAUGAGGUAAAUAGAUGAGUGAAUGAUUGAAUGAAUGAUUAAGUGGAUACAUCUAGGCCUAUGGCAUUCAUCCUAAAAGUGCUAAAUCAGUAGUUAACUCUGAGUAGAUAAGCUCUGUAUAAGUUUUCAUAAGGACUUGAGCCCACAUCUGAUUUAAUGUUAUAGUGUAACAAUUGUUUCAAUAAACAAUAUUCUGAAGUGACUAGUAUAAAUAAAUUUAGAAAAAGCUUUACACUGCAGGCAACAUUCGUUCUCUCCUUUUGGCUCCAAAGUCUCUACCUUCUUAAAGAGAAAUGCAGCUGGAAUUCAUGUAGCAGCUAAUGUAGGUCACCACCAAUUUAAUUAGUUUAACCACUUGAGUUCUGCUGAAUAAACCUAGUACAUGUAGUUAGUCAUUUGUCAGUGGGAAAGGAAAAGACACUAGUGCAGGUGUAACACUAUGAGCCCAUAGGUCAUAAUCUGAGUUACAAGCUCUGCCAUGCCCACUGGGUGACAGAGCCGGUGAAGCAUUCAGCCAUUGAAUUUCCUGACUGCUUACAUGACUCACAUUCUUCUCAGGACAAUUAGCCUUGAGGAUUUCUUCGGCUACUUUUCCUUAAAUGAAUGUAUCCUUUUCUUUUUAAAAUGAAUUUCCUACUAGAUUUCUAAAUAGAAUCAUUUUACUUCUACUUCUUCCAUCAUCCUUAAAAGAAAAUAACAGAUGAUCCUUGUUGACUCUUAGAGGGAUAUUAAAUAGGAACUUUUUGUUGGUUUUUAAUUCCUACUUGUCACCAAAUGCAAAUAUAGGAUAAUCUAUUGCUUAUUAUAAGCACUAGAAAACUACGGAAUUUUCAAAAUAUUUAUUUAACUCUUUCUUACAAUAUACCAGUUUUGGAAAAUAUGGCAGAUUAUAUUCUCUUAAGCAUGCCAUUGUGUUGUACAGCUAAUGAGGGAAGUCUGACUAAUGAAUGACUGAAGGCUAUUCAUGCCCACACGAAUAAGGGUUAAAAAGCUGAUCAACUUCAGAAUGGUUAUCAGGUAUAAACAACUAACACAGAGAGCUAAACAUAGUGACUUAUUAAGAAAGAUUGAUUUAGGAGUUCCCAUCAUGGCUCAGCAGAAAUGAAUCUGACUAGAAUCCAUGAGGACACAGGUUUGAUCCCAGGUCUUGCUCAGUGGAUUAAGGAUCUGUCAUUGCCAUGAGCUGUGGUGUAGGUCACAGAUGUGACUCUGAUCUGGCGUUGCUGUGGCUGUGGUGUAGGCUGGCAGCUAGAGCUCUGAUUCGACCCCUAGCCUGGGAACUUCUACAUGCAGUGAGUGCACCCUUAAAAAGCAAAUAAAUAAAUAAAUAAAUAAAUAAAAAUUUAAAAAGGAAGAUUGGUUUAUAUCUGAUCCAAGGAAUUUUCAUUCUCUAAUUGUUAAACAUUUUGUAAGUGAAUGUAUAUCAUUUUAAAUAUGAAUGUGAUAAUUAGCAUAACUGAGAAUAUCACAAACCCUUAAUUUUCACUAAGGUAUGUAUUUUGUCAAUCCCGGCUGUGACAAAAUAAUUUUGUCUAAGGAUAAUCUUGUCAAUAAUACACAACUAAUUGGAAAUAUAGUUUGUGAAAAGUAUUAUCUUUUAAUCUUUCUUUCAGCUCAUCACAGAGAAUAUUGACUAUAGGAAGAUUUUAUGUAUUGAAUAUGCUACAGAUUUCUCCCAAUUUUUCUUACUUUGUCAUACAAACAGACUAAAUAAUUCAUAAGUAAGUCUUCAAAUGUCUCCCUUGAAAUUGAGAUGGAUUCAAGUUGAUUUUCCAACAUUGAUUUAUUUACCCAUCAAUUGUAGACAUUAAAGCUGAUCACAGUGCUUCCGUUCUUUCCCCUUUAAGUCACUUUCCUGGCCCCUUAAAGUGGUGUGUCAUUAUAAGACUGACUACAGACAAUGAAAAGUGAGUAGGAAUAAGGUGUAGCUCUGAGAGGAAGAAUUUACUUGCUGAAACUUGAUUUUUUUCACCUUAUUUUCCCUGAUACUUCAACUAGAAAGGUCAUAUGGAUUUAGUUACAGUAUGGUAAAGGCUCCAUUCAGCCUGGAUCACUGACUCAUUGCUGAGAAAGCUGUUGGACUGGACAUUUUCCAAAUCCACAACAGACUUUAAGCUACUAAGAGAUAAACUUCAAAAAAUAACUAAAUUUUUGGACAUUUGUAUAUGUAUUUUACAACAUACACUAUCUAUUCUGACUGAAAAAGUACCUAUCAAUUCUCUUUAAAUGAAGAUUUUGAUUCUACAGGGAUAAAAUUAAACAAAACAAAUAUGAUAUUAUUUUCACAAUAAUUAGGAAUUUCAUUAGGACAUUCCACUCUCCUCCUAAUUUUACCUGGGUCCAUUUUAAACUGAAAAAAUAAAAAUAAAAAUGGCUCCUAUUUUUAAAAAUUAUUUGGAGUUGUAUAUACUACCAAUAUUUAAGAACCUCAGACAUUUCCUGAAAGCCAUUGCUGAUAUUAACUUCCUCUCAAUAUGACAGAAAGUAGUAAUGCUUAAUAAGUCAUCCUUUGCAAUUUUUUUUUGUCUUUUUAGAGUCACACCCACAGCAUAUGGAAGUUCCCAGGCUAGGGGUCAAAUAAGAGCUGCAGCUGCUGGCGUGUGCCACAGGCACAGCAACAUGAGAUCUAAGCCGUGUCUGCAGCCUACAACAUAGCUUACAGCAACACUGGAUCCUUAACCUAUUGAGGGAGGCCAGGGAUCAAACCCAUGUCAUCAUGGAUACCACUCAGGUUCUCAACCUGCCGAGCCACAAUGGGAACUCCUGAUUUUUUUUUUUUUUUUUGCUAUAAAUCUUAGGUAUUUUGGAGUUCCCGUGGUGGCGCAGUGGUUAACAAAUCUGACUGGGAACCAUGAGGUUGCAGGUUCGAUCCCUGCCCUUGCUCAGUGGGUUAAGGAUCCGGCGUUGCCGCGAGCUGUGGUGUAGGUUGCAGAUGCGGCUCGGAUUCUGCGUUG
rnacentral:lncRNA from 1 species